rnacentral:lncRNA from 1 species
UGGUCAUAGUCUUCUUGUAAUAUAGGCAUAGAAAAGAGAUGGUAGUUCCUGAGGUGGAGUGCUGAAUGUAUGUAGGCUAUUAAAUGUUGAGAGGAAGCUGGGAUGCAUGUGUCAGUAAAGGAGUCUUUCUGGGACCAUAUGAACAACAAACAUGGACAGAGAUUUUUUUAUUAGCUCUCAUGCAAUCAAUGUAAUAAACCUCAUUUGGUAAUUUCAGGUUUGAACUGGUGCCCUGCAGCAUGCCAGCCAGCAAUACUAACCACUACAUCACUAGUGUGUGCAUCGCAGUACAUGGCAAUAUGGAGGCAAAUGUACUGAGCCUCAGCCAGACAGUACAGUCCUACAUCUAAAUCUACAUCUGUAACCUGCAAACCACUGUGAAGUGCACAUCAAGUGAUACUUCCCAUUCAAGUGCACCCAGACUCUCAGCAAAAGGAAAAAGGUAUCUCAACAAUGCAGCUAGAUACCUCAUAAACAGCUGAUAGUUUCCUAGAUGGGUCUGCAGACUGUUACAAUUACAAGAGAAGUAUUCUGUAGUAACACCUCAUGAAAACAUGCU